CAGGCUUAACACAUGCAAGUCGAGGGGCAGCAUGGUCUUAGCUUGCUAAGGCCGAUGGCGACCGGCGCACGGGUGAGUAACACGUAUCCAACCUGCCGUCUACUCUUGGACAGCCUUCUGAAAGGAAGAUUAAUACAAGAUGGCAUCAUGAGUCCGCAUGUUCACAUGAUUAAAGGUAUUCCGGUAGACGAUGGGGAUGCGUUCCAUUAGAUAGUAGGCGGGGUAACGGCCCACCUAGUCUUCGAUGGAUAGGGGUUCUGAGAGGAAGGUCCCCCACAUUGGAACUGAGACACGGUCCAAACUCCUACGGGAGGCAGCAGUGAGGAAUAUUGGUCAAUGGGCGAGAGCCUGAACCAGCCAAGUAGCGUGAAGGAUGACUGCCCUAUGGGUUGUAAACUUCUUUUAUAAAGGAAUAAAGUCGGGUAUGGAUACCCGUUUGCAUGUACUUUAUGAAUAAGGAUCGGCUAACUCCGUGCCAGCAGCCGCGGUAAUACGGAGGAUCCGAGCGUUAUCCGGAUUUAUUGGGUUUAAAGGGAGCGUAGAUGGAUGUUUAAGUCAGUUGUGAAAGUUUGCGGCUCAACCGUAAAAUUGCAGUUGAUACUGGAUAUCUUGAGUGCAGUUGAGGCAGGCGGAAUUCGUGGUGUAGCGGUGAAAUGCUUAGAUAUCACGAAGAACUCCGAUUGCGAAGGCAGCCUGCUAAGCUGCAACUGACAUUGAGGCUCGAAAGUGUAGGUAUCAAACAGGAUUAGAUACCCUGGUAGUCCACACGGUAAACGAUGAAUACUCGCUGUUUGCGAUAUACAGCAAGCGGCCAAGCGAAAGCGUUAAGUAUUCCACCUGGGGAGUACGCCGGCAACGGUGAAACUCAAAGGAAUUGACGGGGGCCCGCACAAGCGGAGGAACAUGUGGUUUAAUUCGAUGAUACGCGAGGAACCUUACCCGGGCUUAAAUUGCAGAUGAAUUACGGUGAAAGCCGUAAGCCGCAAGGCAUCUGUGAAGGUGCUGCAUGGUUGUCGUCAGCUCGUGCCGUGAGGUGUCGGCUUAAGUGCCAUAACGAGCGCAACCCUUGUUGUCAGUUACUAACAGGUUCCGCUGAGGACUCUGACAAGACUGCCAUCGUAAGAUGUGAGGAAGGUGGGGAUGACGUCAAAUCAGCACGGCCCUUACGUCCGGGGCUACACACGUGUUACAAUGGGGGGUACAGAGGGCCGCUACCACGCGAGUGGAUGCCAAUCCCCAAAACCUCUCUCAGUUCGGACUGGAGUCUGCAACCCGACUCCACGAAGCUGGAUUCGCUAGUAAUCGCGCAUCAGCCACGGCGCGGUGAAUACGUUCCCGGGCCUUGUACACACCGCCCGUCAAGCCAUGGGAGCCGGGGGUACCUGAAGUGCGUAACCGCGAGGAGCGCCCUAGGGUAAAACUGGUGACUGGGGCUAAG
rnacentral:rRNA from 1 species